rnacentral:rRNA from 1 species
AUUGAACGCUGGCGGCAGGCCUAACACAUGCAAGUCGAGCGGAUGAAGGGAGCUUGCUCCUGGAUUCAGCGGCGGACGGGUGAGUAAUGCCUAGGAACCUGCCUGGCUGCGGGGGAUAACGUCCGGAAACGGGCGCUAAUACCGCAUACGUCCUGAGGGCGAACGUGGGGGAUCUUCGGACCUCACGCUAUCAGAUGAGCCGAGGUCGGAUUAGCUAGUUGGUGGGGUAAAGGCCUACCAAGGCGACGAUCCGUAGCUGGUCUGAGAGGAUGAUCAGUCACACUGGAACUGAGACACGGUCCAGACUCCUACGGGAGGCAGCAGUGGGGAAUAUUGGACAAUGGGCGAAAGCCUGAUCCAGCCAUGCCGCGUGUGUGAAGAAGGUCUUCGGAUUGUAAAGCCCUUUUGGUGGGGAAGAAGAGCAGUAGGUUAAUACCUUGCUGUUUUGACGGUACCAACAGAAUAAGCACCGGCUAACUUCGUG